rnacentral:rRNA from 1 species
UGGGGGAUAUUGCACAAUGGGCGAAAGCCUGAUGCAGCGACGCCGCGUGGGGGAUGAAGGCCUUCGGGUUGUAAACUUCUUUUGCUCUGAACAAGGCAUGCCUUUGGGGUGUGUUGAGUGUAGGGGUUGAUUAGCGCCGGCUAACUACGUGCCAGCAGCCGCGGUAAUACGUAGGGCGCGAGCGUUGUCCGGAAUUAUUGGGCGUAAAGGGCUUGUAGGUGGCUGGUUGCGUCUGUCGUGAAAGCUCAUGGCUUAACUGUGGGUUUGCGGUGGGUACGGGCUGGCUUGAGUGCAGUAGGGGAGGCUGGAAUUCCUGGUGUAGCGGUGGAAUGCGCAGAUAUCAGGAGGAAUACCGGUGGCGAAGGCGGGUCUCUGGGCUGUUACUGACGCUGAGGAGCGAAAGCGUGGGGGGCGAACAGG